UCCCUAGCAGUCCAGUGGUUGGGACUCUGAGCUUCCAAUGCAGGGCACACAGGUUUGAUCCCUGGCUGGGGAA
rnacentral:tRNA from 1 species